rnacentral:rRNA from 1 species
UCCGUAGGUGGAUAAUUAAGUCAGAGGUGAAAUCCUGCAGCUCAACUGUAGAAUUGCCUUUGAUACUGGUUAUCUUGAGUCAUUAUGAAGUGGUUAGAAUGUGUAGUGUAGCGGUGAAAUGCAUAGAUAUUACACAGAAUACCGAUUGCGAAGGCAGAUCACUAAUAAUGUACUGACACUGAGGGACGAAAGCGUGGGUAGCGAACAGGAUUAGAUACCCUGGUAGUCC